rnacentral:rRNA from 1 species
UACGUAGGGUGCGAGCGUUAAUCGGAAUUACUGGGCGUAAAGCGUGCGCAGGCGGUUUGUUAAGUUCGUCGUGAAAGCCCCGGGCUCAACCUGGGAACUGCGAUGGAAACUGGCAAGCUUGAGUGCGGCAGAGGGGGGUGGAAUUCCGCGUGUAGUGGUGAAAUGCGUAGAGAUCCGGAGGAACACCAGUGGCGAAGGCGGCCCCCUGGGCCGCGCCUGACGCUGAGACGCGAAAGCGCGGGGAGCGAACGGG